rnacentral:rRNA from 1 species
UACGUAGGGUGCGAGCGUUAAUCGGAAUUACUGGGCGUAAAGCGUGCGCAGGCGGCGGCUCAAGUCAGGUGUGAAAUCCCCGGGCUUAACCUGGGAAUUGCGCUUGAAACUAGGCUGCUUGAGUGUGGCAGAGGGGGGUGGAAUUCCACGUGUAGCAGUGAAAUGCGUAGAGAUGUGGAGGAACACCGAUGGCGAAGGCAGCCCCCUGGGUCAACACUGACGCUCAGGCACGAAAGCGUGGGGAGCAAACAGG